UCCUGUAAUUGACAACCCUUGAUAUGUUUGGUAUUUCAAGGAUUUUGAUGUUGGUAAAAUCUACAAAAAGAAGAUAGUUUUGAUAAAUGCAUCCUACAGCAUUAACUACUGCAAACCAGUGGGAAUCAGUGAAUGGCUGAAGGACUUCAUCAGCAUUCAGUUUGACCCUCCUGGUAAAAUGUCUGCUGGAAUGUCCUGUGAAGUGGGGGUAACCUUUAAGCCUGUGAUAAAUGAAAAUCUGGAAGGAGAAGUCAUGUUUAUGGCGCAAACAGGAUCCUUCACAGUUCCACUGAAAUGUACAGCUAAGACAUGCACUGUAAGUGACUGUUUAAAGUCAGAGUAACAGCAGAAAAUGCAGGACAGCAUAAACGUU
rnacentral:lncRNA from 1 species